UACGUAGGGGGCAAGCGUUGUCCGGAUUUAUUGGGCGUAAAGAGCGUGUAGGCGGUUAGGUAGGUCCGUUGUGAAAACUCGAGGCUCAACCUCGAGACGCCGAUGGAAACCAUCUGGCUAGAGUCCGGAAGAGGAGAGUGGAAUUCCUGGUGUAGCGGUGAAAUGCGCAGAUAUCAGGAAGAACACCCGUGGCGAAGGCGGCUCUCUGGGACGGUACCGACGCUGAGACGCGAAAGCGUGGGGAGCGAACAGG
rnacentral:rRNA from 1 species